CGACUCUCGGCAACGGAUAUCUCGGCUCUCGCAUCGAUGAAGAACGUAGCGAAAUACGAUACUUGGUGUGAAUUGCAGAAUCCCGUGAACCAUCGAGUUUUUGAACGCAAGUUGCGCCCGAAGCCAUUAGGCUAAGGGCACGUCUUCCUGGGCGUCACGCAU
rnacentral:rRNA from 1 species